CAAUUUAAAUGUUCUUUUAAGUCAUACAGCAUUUAGAGCAACUGAAGGUAACAAAGUUAAUUGAUUUUGUUAUAAAAUUAUACUGUGUGGCUCAUAGCACUGAGCCUUUAAAGGAAAUGGCACACUGGUAAAGCCAGAUGUAUCCCUCUCCGCUCAGGGAGAGUGAAAGCAGCAGAGAUACCAGGCUGUGGGUUUGAUCAAUCUGCAUCUUACUUCCCCAUCUUACUUGCUCUUCUUUCAAAAAGAUUUCCAAACAAGCCCUGUGCUCCAGGUCACCAGAUACAGCAGUGGCAGGUUAUGUUGGAGCAUUGAUUAAUGUGCUAUCGGAGGGAAACAAACAUUCCCCGAACUAAAGAUUUACCUGAUUUACCUGAACUUGUCAUCAGUCCAAACACAAGAAAAAAUGUUUCGCCCAUCAGUUUCUAAUGGUAGACAUUUUCUUUUGGGCAGCAGGUCAUGAUUUAUUUUACAAAUUGAAAUGCUAUUUAAACCAUUUUUUGCAGAAAGGACCAAAGUAGGAAACAAUAAUAAAUAAUGGUGCUUGGAAUGCAGCAUUUGCAUUCAUCCAGCUUCAGCUUGUAGAUAAGUAGGGAUUUAAAUGAGGGUUGAAAGCCUUAACAUGUGACUUUGCUUUAACAGCUGGGUUGUGUUUAGGCAUUGCUGCCUCGUCAUGCUUUUGCAGCUCGAUUAUGAUGCGCUUUUAUGCGUUUGUCCUGAAAAAUCCCCCACUGACCGGUUAUUUUCAGAAGCUGUCUCUGGUGGUUGCGCCACAACACUGUUCUCACCACAGUCAUGAUUUAGCAGUAGGAAUAAAUUGAAACCUUGAACGUAGUAAACAUCUCCGGUGUCAAAGAUAGCUUGAUGCCUUUGACCAGUCAGGUUGGCUGAAGCCUGAGUUCUGCAGCUCAUGUUUGGCCAAACCUCAGUCUCAGCCCAGCGUGGCUUGCAGAGCAGCUAAGUGCUGGGUGCAGAGGGGAAGUGGUUGACAUGCAGGUUGAGCUCAUUGUUCUCAGAGCGACAGUUCCCAGAGGCUCCUGGGCACAGCUGACGCCUGCAGUCUGGGCCUGGAAAAUGUAUUAACAGAUGAAGAUUGAAUGUAAGUCAACUUUGUUGAAUCAUUUGCAGAAUCUAUGAAGGUUGUGAAGCUGUGCUAACGUUGGCUUUACACAAAUCAACAUUUGCAUCUACUUGCCUCAAAAAGUACAAGUAGACCCCAAAAUAUUCGUAUUUCAAGCAGAUUUCAAUAAAAAAAAUGACUUAAAUUCAAAUAUCACGUUUGCUGAAUUAUUGUUUUUUGAGGCAUCUGUCAAAAGACAAUAAAAUAAUAUAUUAGCAUUGCCGUCCUUUUGGUUUUCCCACUGGCAUUGUGACCAAUUAGGAUGACCUCAAGCAGUUCGAGGAUGCAGGGUCUCAUUACCAUCACCCUAAUCUGCACAGAUCCACUCACACGUUAUCUCUGCUGAUUACUCUGCCUACGCUGCUUUUUGAAACAGCGAUUAAUAAACAGAACUGAGAAGUAGAAGUAGUUUUAGUGCAACGGACAUUUUACUUCUAAUUGAGUAGUAUUUUGAGGUAACGUUUUUUCUAAAUGAGCUUCUCAGUUCUAGUUACUUCGCUGAAUAAAAAACCGAGUGCGUUUUAAUCAAAAGCGCACAGACAGACACGAAACGUUUCGGGGGACAGCUUCAUCCCAUCUGCUGAGCCGGCCACAUUUGGAGGUCAAACAAAACCUCCAAAAACAAACUUCUUGGCCAAAUAAAGGUCACCGCCUGGAUUUAACCAAUAAAUAGACACAAGCCUUUAAUGAGGAUUACUACUGCAGCAGCAGCAGAUCUUUUAACAUCAGCUGACGCGAUGAGUAGCUUCUCUUCCAGCCAUGUUGAAAGACAUCAGUCUGUUCAUGACAUGUCAGAUCGUUGGCAUUCGUCAAGCAGGAGAUUGCAGAAACCACUAAAAUCGGGUUAAGAAUGGAUCUGUAUUUAAAACCGGGAGGGAAGUGGAGAACCGUCGCAUGUGAGGAAAAAAGGGUUGUCACUAUCCACCAUCAUAGAAAAACAAAUCCUGAUGUGAGAUCACCUAAAGGUUUGGUGAAAUCAAAUCAGGAAAAAACAACAACAAGUAGAAUCCAGGA